CGUGACGUGUAGCUACGAAGCAGCAGCUGUGGUUCGGUAAUUUGCGGAAAGCGCUGCAACAAGCGUUAGUGGCUGAGAUAAAGCCAUCGUGUACUUACCGACCACUUUGCAAUUUUAUGCGACAUCUUUAGUGCAUUCAAAGGUUCUCAUGCUCACACAGAAUAUGAAAACCAACAAAUGGCGCAGUCGAACUAUUACGAAAAGCCAGCAAAGCGGUGUCUUUUCUCAGCUUGCAUGACCGACUCUUUUCUCACAGGUGGCAAUGGCGUCUGCCGCUUUGCGUAAAAUAUGCAAAAUUUGGUAUCAUUUGCAGCCAGCAGGCUAUGCUGUUGUCGAGGUUUUCUUGACUCUAUAGCAGCUCCACUUUUCAAUUUGUCUUACACUUAGGUUACUGCUAGACCCGCUUUCCAUCCAGCAGAUGUGUACUGUAGUUUUCAUCAUGAUUCUCACAGGUAA